rnacentral:rRNA from 1 species
UGCCAGACUCCUACGGGAGGCAGCAGUGGGGGAUAUUGGACAAUGGGGGAAACCCUGAUGCAGCAACGCCGCGUGAGUGAAGAAGUAUUUCGGUAUGUAAAGCUCUAUCAGCAGGGAAGAAGAUGACGGUACCUGACCAAGAAGCCCCGGCUAACUACGUGCCAGCAGCCGCGGUAAUACGUAGGGGGCAAGCGUUAUCCGGAUUUACUGGGUGUAAAGGGAGCGUAGACGGCAGUGCAAGUCUGAAGUGAAAGCCCCGGGCUUAACCCGGGAAUUGCUUUGGAAACUGUACGGCUGGAGUGCUGGAGAGGUAAGCGGAAUUCCUAGUGUAGCGGUGAAAUGCGUAGAUAUUAGGAGGAACACCAGUGGCGAAGGCGGCUUACUGGACAGUAACUGACGUUGAGGCUCGAAAGCGUGGGGAGCAAACAGGAUUAGAUCCCUGGUA